rnacentral:rRNA from 1 species
UACGGGGGGUGCGAGCGUUGUCCGGAAUCACUGGGCGUAAAGGGCGCGUAGGUGGUUUGAUAAGGGUGUGGUGAAAGUCCGGGGCUCAACCCCGGAUCUGCCGUGCCGACUGUCAAACUCGAGGGCUGUAGAGGCAGACGGAAUUCCGGGUGUAGCGGUGGAAUGCGUAGAGAUCGGGAAGAACACCAGUGGCGAAGGCGGUCUGCUGGGCCGUUGCUGACGCUGAGGCGCGACAGCGUGGGGAGCAAACAGG